UAGGGAAUCUUCCACAAUGGGCGAAGCCUGAUGGAGCAACACCGCGUGAGUGAAGAAGGGUUUCGGCUCGUAAAGCUCUGUUGUUAAAGAAGAACACGUAUGAGAGUAACUGUUCAUACGUUGACGGUAUUUAACCAGAAAGUCACGGCUAACUACGUGCCAG
rnacentral:rRNA from 1 species